GCGCACCAAGGCGCGAAACUUCGACAAUGUGCGAAAGCACGAUGAGGGAAUCCCAAGUGCUUGCUCGUAAGAGUAAGCUGUUUCUCUGUCUAAAACGCAGAGAGAGUAAGGGCUGGGUAAGACGGGUGCCAGCCGCCGCGGUAAUACCUGCAGCUCGAGUGGUGGCCGCUAUUAUUGGGCCUAAAACGUCCGUAGCCGGUUUAUUAAAUGCCUGGGUAAAUCGGACCGCUUAACGGUUCGAAUUCCGGGUAGACUGAUAAACUUGAGACCGGGAGAAGCUAGAGGUACUCCUGGGGUAGAGGUGAAAUUCUGUAAUCCUAGGGGGACCACCAGUGGCGAAGGCGUCUAGCUAGAACGGGUCUGACGGUGAGGGACGAAGCCCUGGGGCGCAAACGGGGAUUAGAUACCCGCGUAGU
rnacentral:rRNA from 1 species